UGUUGCAUUGGUGGACGAGAAACAGAGAUAGAAUGAAGAGACUUUUUCUCACGUAUUGCGGUAGAUACGCUAACCGUAGGUGUUUUUAAUGCUCGUUCCACGUUCGUCUCGUUAGAUCAGUGUGCGUAUCGCCUCGAUCGUCCUUGUGACGUUACGCGCGUUUCUCUUCUGUUUCGAUUGUGUCGUUUAAUUUUUUGUCAUCAAAAUCGUGUGGUGAAAAGAUCAAGAUGAGUUGCAUCUCGGAUUGUAUUAAAUAUUUGCUUUUUAUUUUUAAUUUUAUAUUUUUGAUAUGUGGAUUGGCUAUUUUAACUCUUGGCGUUAUUGUACAUCUGCGAGUGUCAGAAAUAACCGAUCACAUUGAUACCAAUCUUUUAUUCCCAUCGAUAACGUUGAUCGUUAUCGGCAGCAUAAUCUUCAUAAUAUCAUUUUUCGGAUGCUGUGGCGCCAUCCGGGAGAGUCAUUGCAUGACAAUUACCUUCGCAUCGUUCCUUUUGUUCAUCUUAAUCGUGCAAGUGGCAGUUGCUGUUUAUGUGUUUGUUGUUGUUAAAAACAGCGAUGACAAGAUUGAUAUCUCCGAGAAUUACGAGAAGAUAUUCAAAAAUUACGGCACGGACAAAGAAAGCACAAGAGUGAUUGAUAUUGUGCAGAGUAGCUUGCAUUGCUGUGGUGUCUAUUCUUCGAAAGAUUUCAUUCUCCACAAUCUCCGUAUUCCGCCAAGUUGCUGUGGUUUAGCAGAAAAUCAAACCUGCUCUUCAAACGAUGUGUAUGAGAUAGGCUGUGUGCCAGAAUUAAGGCAAGCGAUCUCGAACGCUGGAACUGUACUUGGCAGCUUAGCUAUUGCUAUUGCCGGUGUUGAGUUGAUCGGAAUCAUAUUCGCACUUUGCUUGGCAAAUUCUAUAAGGAACGCUGAACGCAGGAAUCAAAGAAAUAUAUAUUAAAAACGAAAAGUAAUAUAAUUGGUAACACUACCAUUAAUAAUUUGAUUUUAAGUGACAGAAGAAGUGCAGUUAUUCUAUGAAAACAAAUUUAGAUAUUUUUUUAAAUGGAUCAAUGAAAACGAAGACGGGAAAAGUGCCUGUUUUUCUAAGUUGAAGCACGAUUUUUGUUUAAAUUUUCACUUUGUAUGUAAUAUGAAAUGUAUAAACAUGUUAUUUAAUAUAUUUUUAAUUUUGGUACAUUUCUGUUAAA